CCUAUCUAUUAGUCAACAAAAACGUGGGAAACAUCAUGUAUUCAGGAAAAAGUUUUCACCUUUCUGUUCUGAGUUCAUCUCUACUCCUUGCUCUGAUACUUGGCAGAGCACGUGGAACGAGCACGAUCAACAUUAGUCUUACUGCUGGUGUUGUUACAAGCUUGAAAUCUUCGAACUAUCCUGACAAGUACGAAAACAAUUUACACACUCGUUGGCAUGUACACGCACCAUCGUCACAAAGAAUCCUCGUCACGUUUAAUGAUUUCUACACUCAACUUGAAGACAUUCUUUUUAUCAAGGAAGAGAAAAAUCCUUAUAGAUCAAAGUACACCGGGAAGCGUGUGGAAAGCCCUUUUCCACCUUUUCUCUCUUUAAGUAACCACAUUGAAAUCAUAUUUAAUUCCGAUUACGAAGAAAAUAACAAGGGAUUUAACUUGUCACUGUCUGCGACGAUUCAAACUGAAAUUAGUACUUCUUCUCAAAACGAAGCUGGAAACGAAAGAUCUAAGGAAUCGGAGCAUAUCAGAGUCUUAAAUCAAAUAGUAUGUAGAGACAAAUGGCAUGCCGGUGUUGCAGACACUAUUUGUAGAGAGGCAGGUUUUCCAGGAUCAUACGAAACAUCAUGGGGUGAUUCUACUACAAUAUUAAAUGGAACAAGCUAUACGUGUAAUGAAAAAACUCACCGUCUUAGGGAUUGUAACUCUUCGAUAUCCCAGUGUUCGAAGACUUCUAACUCAGUGAUUGUAACCUGCAACG